CAGCAGCUUCCUCGGCGGCGGCCCCCGCGGCACCCAGGCAGCGGACGAAGGGACUUAAAAGCGGCGGCGGUGAAGACAGCACCGGAGGCCUCGGCACUUCCGGUUCCUCGAGCCCCGCCCUCCGACAGAGGAAGGCUAGCGGCCGGACCAAGAAAGGAUGGCUCUCGCCUCUGUGCGCGAGCAGGCCCCACAGCGCCACCGAGCGGCGGGAGGAGGCGCGCCCAGUGGACGGCCUGAAAGGAGGGAAAACAGAAGCACAGUGUACCUAUCAAGAACCCUGAGAAGUGCCAGGCAUGGCGGUGCACACCUUUAACCUCAGCACUCUGGAGGUAAAGACUGGGACAUCUAGGUCCCUCCUGCUGACUCAUGCUGAGGCUGAGGCCUGGCUGUUUCUGCUGGGUAGUACCACCGCUGCUGAUUCCUGUUCACUAUCCCGACUCUACUGAACUGGACUGUUAGUGUAUCUGUGAAGUGUUUGCAAGUAAACUG